UACAGAGGUCUCAAGCGUUGUUCGGAUUCAUUGGGCGUAAAGGGUGCGUAGGUGGCUGCGUAAGUCGGGUGUGAAAUCCCGGGGCUCAACCCCGGAACUGCACUCGAUACUGCGUGGCUUGAGUACUGGAGAGGAGAUUGGAAUUUACGGUGUAGCAGCGAAAUGCGUAGAUAUCGUAAGGAAGACCAGUGGCGAAGGCGGAUCUCUGGACAGUUACUGACACUGAGGCACGAAGGCCAGGGGAGCAAACGGG
rnacentral:rRNA from 1 species